UAACAGGAUUCCCCUAGUAACUGCGAGUGAAGAGGGAAAAGCUCAAAUUUAAAAUCUGGCGGGCUCUGUCCGUCCGAGUUGUAAUCUGGAGAAGCGUUUUCCGCGUCGGACCGUGCACAAGUCUCCUGGAACGGAGCGUCAUAGAGGGUGAGAAUCCCGUCCAUGGCACGGACCGCCGAUGCUCUGUGAUACGUUUUCAAAGAGUCGAGUUGUUUGGGAAUGCAGCUCAAAACGGGUGGUAAAUUCCAUCUAAAGCUAAAUAUUGGCGAGAGACCGAUAGCGAACAAGUACCGUGAGGGAAAGAUGAAAAGCACUUUGGAAAGAGAGUUAAACAGUACGUGAAAUUGUUGAAAGGGAAACGCUUGAAGUCAGUCGCGUCCGACGGAACUCAGCCUUGCUUCGGCCUGGUGUACUUUCCGUCGGACGGGUCAACAUCAGUUUUGACCGGUGGAAAAAGGUGGGGGGAAUGUAGCGCCGCUUCGGCGGCGUGUUAUAGCCCCUCGCUGUAUGCACCGGUCGGGACUGAGGACCGCAGCACGCCUUUUUGGCCGGGGGCUCGC
rnacentral:rRNA from 1 species